rfam:Cavia porcellus supercont2_5 genomic scaffold, whole genome shotgun sequence.
AUCCUCUGGUUCAUGAUCAUGCUGACUGGAUGUUCAUGAAAUUUGUGUGAGAUAUGCCUCCCUCAAAUCUUGUGACAAUGUUGGCAUAUAUUCAUCUGAUU